AAGACCAGGUGCUGUAGGUGUAAAAAAUAAGGGGUUGUAAGAUGACAAGUUCCUUGCAAUCUGUGAGGUCAACCAGGGGUUGCCUUGCCUUAAAAAAAAAGUCUAAAUUUUAUUAAGCAAUUAAGAACUACUAUGGCUUGAGUGUGUAAGUGCUGAGCAAAACACAUGUGCUGCCUUCAGGUAGGGGAUACAUCAUACUACAAUUAUAUAGCAAGGAAAAGUAGAGGAUGCGGAGUGUAUAAUAGGAAGAAAUCAGGGAAACAUUUAGUAAUGCAAACAGGAUGUGCAUCCAGUGGCCUCAAUGUAGGCAUUCUGGCAAACUACCAGAGACUAAAAAUAUGUUCAUUCUUGGUCAAUGAAAACCUCCCUGAGGUGAGACUCUACCCAGCCUUUCUACCUCAUUUGGGAUUGCCCUGGGGCUGUAUCACAGAGCUGGCCCAGAGUGGGGCACUUGGGACCAACUAGUGAGAAUCCUGACUCCUGCCUGAGAGGAGUAUUACUAUUAAGUCAUGAUUAGGUUGUCAGUAGAGAAAAUGUGCCAAGUUAUUUGUAGCCCGUUUAGAAAUAGCCCCAAGGCCCAGUUUUACCAUUUCUAGAAACCUAGUGGAGCAGGGAGUCUUUCUGUUUGUCCCAGCUGUAUGUGGCUGCCAGUUAACUACUUAAUCUCAGGUUCUUGGAUUUUUCUCAAACACUUCUCUUGGACUCUGUUGACACAUUUUAUGUAGUUUUAAACAUUUAGCUACCGAAAAGCCCCUUCGAUCAGGAAAUAGCUAAAGGAUACUUGUAGGGUUAUGACUCUCGCAUUUUUCUGAUUAAAAAAGAAUAUUUAAAGUUUAUUAUUAAAGAGUCAGAAAAGAUAAUUCUGUAUUUCAGAAAAAUGCAGCCCAUCAAUGUUUUUAGUAUUCUUGAAUUAAGUCUCAUGGAAAUGAUCAAUAAGACAUAAGACAGAAACUCACAUUGUAGCUGGUGUUUUACAAAGAGUAAAAAUAUAAAAUAGCAAACAUGGAGACAUUAGAAUGGAUUGAAAUAACUUUUUAAAACAGCAAUAACUAAACUGAAUAGCAAUAGUUAAUUCUGAGGAGCAAAGGUUACAUUUCACACCACUAACAGGUAUUUCUGAUUUGCAAUAGGGAUCACCCCUUUUUUCCACUCCCUUCCCCAAUAUAGGAACCUCUAGGUCUCUGUCACCAGAGGCUAUGAGGCAGGGGCUCUGUGCUGGCCUCAGGGAUCCUACUCACUGAAAUGACUUGCUUACCCAGACAGCCUGCCCAACUUUAAUGCAGUGAUCAUCUCUUAAGAAGUCAUCCGGAAGGCAUACAAAGCUGGAGGGACAGCCAGCAGGGUCUGGCAUUCAACUUCAGUCUUGUCCUUCUCCACUUGAUAAUGGAGCCCUGGAACCACAGUCUUCAUUCUGUUUCGAAAACUCCUGCCUUGACUUGCAGGUAAGGAACUGUCUCCCUUUGUCUCCACUUUUGCUUUAUUGUACUAGGAGAGCGUUUGUUUCCUGCCUGGACUUGUUUUCAGUGCAAACGUCCUAUCUCAGCCUUUAUUUGCACUCUCUGGAAUGGAUUAAUAAUUUCUAAAUAGUUUCUUUUGGCUGCUCCCAAAGCUUCCUCUGAUUUGUGUGUGGAAAGGAGUAUUGGUGACAAUUCAAUAGAAUAAUGUAACCAAAGUGCUUCAGGGGACAUGGGUAAUAGCUGUUACUAUGAUGGCUACAUCCGGGCCAUGGGGACCACCCCCAAUCAUUCAAACAUUUCAAAACCAACCAAGAUUAAGGAUUUACUGAUAAUCUGAGCUUUCUGCUUCUGAACUCAUCUGAACAAAAUUGGAAAUAUUUAUGAAAAGACUCCUGACACAUUUUCUCAAAUCAGAUGGCAGGGGUAAGUGGAUAAGGAAGGAAUGCUCUCUUCUUUUAGUUUUCAUACAUUACAAAAUACAUGAGCAUUUUGAAGCCUAAAUUCUGGAGAGUCUUAAUUUUUAAUUAUUUAACUUUUUAUACAAAGUUCCACCUGGUUCAAAAUUUGAAAUUUAUCAAACGGUGAAAAUUCUCUUCCCACACUUGUCCCUCAGCCACACCCACCGGCUCCCCUUGUGAAAGAAAAAUUCUGACUAACAGAACCUUUUUGCUUCAAAAGCCCUUCCAGAAGGAAAUUAGCACUUCUGAUGAAAUGUGUGCGUGUCUGGUGACUAUGAAUCAAGUUAAAAAUAAUUCUGAGAAACGAUCUACCCACCUAGUAACCCAGACAUUUGGGUGUUUUGUUUUGCUUUUUUAUAAGUCAACAAUGAUUAUCUACUCUAAUUAUUUUUACCUCUAAAUGUCUCUGCUAUGAAAGAAUCUUUGAAGUUGGCCUGCUUGAGGCCUAUCUCCUUGCAAUAAAUUUAUAAUAAAAUUUCAACAUAACUGAAUUAUCUAAAAAGGAUGUUUUUAAACAUCUUCCCAAGAAGGAAAGAUUAUCUGUUCUUAGGUAUCCUUCCAGGCUUAUAAAUAUUCAAAUGGCUUUUGAAAUAAAAGUUAUAUCUUUUUGGCUAAGAAUUUUCAGUAUUCAAUUCUGUCAAAGAUGGAGGUUAAACAUUUUUUGCUCUUUAAAUGACUAUAAAAUUGAUAUGCUCAGUACUGGUUAUAAAAAUAUUAAAACUGGGUCAUUAUAUUGAUUUAGAACCUCAUUUCAUCUUAAACUAAGUGACAUCAGACUAAAUGUCCUUUUAUUAUUAAAUCAGUAUUAAAAGUUCCACUCAGGGAGCAUAUUUUCAAAUAUGUUUUCAUAAAAUAAUUAUAUUUACUAGCAUUUAUGUUAUUUUUUUUAAUUUAAUAACAUUGUUCUGGUUUUAGUAUAUUUUUGUGGUUGCCUGCUAUUUAUAUUAUAGCAAAUGAUACUAGUGUUUCAUUUAUGGUAAUGUUAUAAAUUUUCUUUUAGAAUACUUUUUAGAAAGUCAGUUAAUUGAUUUUUAAAAAUGUCAACAGAGCCACAAUAGCUUUGCGGGUGUGGCAAAAAUCAUGCAGAUGGUACUCAUGAUUGAAGUCUAGGAAAUACUUUAUCUUGGCUGAGGUUUGCAAUGCAAUCAUAUAGGUUCAAAAAGUUUUGUUUUACCAGCUUAUGAGAAAUACAAUGCAAUGAUUAAUAUAUCAGGUUAAAUGAACAAAACUGAGCAAGAAUAUAGCUCAGCCAAUAAAACACUUGCAGGUAUGAACUAGACAAAGGCAACAGAACUAUACAGGUUUGUGGGGUUUUUUAACUUUUUAUUUUAAAAUAAUCUUCAACUUACAAAAAAGUAUAAAAAAUACAAAGAACUUCCAUAUAUUCUCUACUGAGGUUCAUUACUUUUAAUAUAUUGUGAUAUUUACUGUAUCUUUUGAAUUACUUGAGAAUGACAGUCUCUCCUUGACUAAGGUCUAAUGAGGAUCCCCUGAGUUUUUUUUCAUCUAGACUUUCAGACUUCCACGUUCGGUUCUGCAUUUUCAAUAUUAGUAAGAAUCCUACUAAGUCAGUUUAUCCAUUCUCAGUAUCUGAUCCAUUUCCUCAUCUCUCACCAUCCCCCAGGGAUUGUCUAAUGAUGACCCUGGCCUGCCUUCAGCAAGACUCUUGUUAGGUCAGUUCAGUGAGAAUUCUCCCUGACUACUGAUGUUUCCUUGAGUAAUUUCCCAUGCAGAUCCCCAACCUGCGCCUUGGCUAUAAAUUCCCACUUGUCCUUGUAUUUGGAGUUGAGCCAGUCUCUCUCCCUCACUGCAAAGCCCCAUUGUGGUAUUCCCUACAACUGUGGCAAUAGUCCCCUUAAAUAAAGUCUGCCUUACCUUCUUUAGCAAGUGUCAUGAAUAAUUUUUUCUUUAACAAGUUGUAGAAUCAUAAGCCUUCAUUCUUUAGUAAUUCAGCAUAUAUCUCCUAAGAAUAAAGACAUUUUCUUAUAUAACCACAGUAUAAUCCUUAUCAGGAAAUCUAACAUUAUUACACUUAUACUACAGUGUCCAUAUUGAAACUUCACCAGUUAUGCUGGUUAUUAUUGUCUCAGCUCUAAGCUUACCUUUCUCUGCUCUGCUCUGUGACACUGGGGUUAAGACUUUGCUAAGUUCAUUUUCAGGGCUCCCUUGCCAACUGGCUUCUGUUUGGAUCCUACCAGUGGGAUGCCCUUUUGGGAGAUCUGAAGAGGAGAGAAGGGACAUCCUUUUGUUUCCAGUUCCUGGUAGCACCCCUUCAAGUAGAAGAAGAAAGUUGCAACUUCAAACUCCAGCUUCUUUAGGUCUUCUCAGCAUUAGCCACAGCAUGCGCCUCCUAUCCCCACCUUGGAAGUCAAGCACCAGGCAUAUGUGGGCCCCUCUCCUGAACUCUGGUCCUGGCAGUCCCAGCUCUUCCUUUUGUUCCCCAGCCCUAAGGUGGUGGUUAGUUUGAGUAUUAAUAUCUUGGUUACCUCAACCCUAGGCAUGAUAGCUCUUCAUGGAUUUACCAAUAUUUAAGUGUCUCAAGUUUUAUUCAUUCAGCCUUCUAACAUCUAUAUAACCAAUUUUUCUUUUUGCUCUAUGUCCUAUUUUUUCAUUGAAUUUUUAAAAUUGUAAAAUACACAUAAUGUAAAAGUUAGCAUCUUAACCAUUUUUAAGGGCACAGUUCAGUAGUUUUAAGUAUUUUUAUAUUAUUGUGCAACAACUUCUAAGCCUGGAGGUACUUGGGUUAAAUCUGCCCUCAACACAGGAAGGUUUUUAACAAUCAUCAGGGCCCACGUAGAGCACGUGCUCGAUGAACUGAUCGAAUGGAAGGAUAAAUGGAAAAUAGAAUACUGAAAGGUAAAAGAAUGAAUACAUCUUUUUUUGUAUGGAAAGUAACAUGCGGUAUUGGAAAAAGCAUGGAUGUUGAAGUCAGACCAACCUGAAUUUGAAUUGCACAUAUAUGCUCUUCACUGAGUGUGUGAAUUUGGAAAAUGUACUUGGCAUUGUGAUCUCUCUACCUCAGUUUGCUCAUUGGGGAAUGGAGAAAAACCUACUUUGCAGGGUUGCUUUGAAAAUUAAGUGAGAUCACAAAUGCGGAUGGCCUAGGAAAUAAUGGGUGCACAGCAAGGUUGGCUCUCUUCCUACCCCUCCCAGAGUUACUUUAUGUUGUACAUAAUGACAGUGGGCCCAUAUAUAGUUUAUAAUAUGUGAAAGUUGACAUUUUACAAUGUCUAGUAAAUUUUUUUAUCUCAGAACAAAAAUUUAGUUGAGAGGUUAAUGGUAUAUACAGUACAAUAAUAAUCAAGAUGGAAUUUAUUGUGACUAAUUUAUCCUGUGGGUCUUAAAACCUAAGAACAAUAGAUAGUUGAAAAAAGCUUUUGCUUUUACCUUAAAAUGUAUGCAAAAUAUAUUUUUAAUUAUACAUUUUAAAGAUUAUCCCUGAAUUAUGCUAAUAGGAGUAAAUAGCACCCCACAGAACUACGUAUGUGGAAGAUAAUAUUACUGUUUUUAAUAAUUGAGACUACCAGUAGUUUGCAUCACGAGCAGUUUAUGAAUGGUUUUUAAAUUCUAUUUGGGGUGAUAUUUUAGGUUAUUUAGAAUUUUGUCUCUCUGGAGAAAAAUGUGAAAACUUGAGGGGGCAGCAAAGGAACAUCAUAGACAAUGACUUCAAGCUUCAUCAUUUUUUGGGAAAAAAAUACUAACCUAUACUGAAGCUGCUUCUAAAGAAUAUACUAAUUAUGUUAGAACUACCUCAACACUGAGGCCCUUCUCCAGUCAUUAGGUGUGUAAUGUGGCUGCCAUUUUCUGUUACUGGUCAAAAUUACACUUUCAACCUUCCAUGGUCAAAUUUCAGAGCAUAAAUAGGCAAGAAAUGCAAGUUAUCAUGAAUAAUUAGAGCCCUUGGGGCAAAAAAAGAUAGCAAAUGAUUCCGAAGUGGAAUGAUUAUCUUCUGAGUUAAUUAUUAGUGUGUCUGUAUUAUCUUUACUGAUCCUCCUCCACUGUUGGGACAUAUAAUCUAAUUAACAAAAUAAACUUGGUAUGUAAAGUUUGAGGCCUGAGGUAUUAUUUAUGUAAAAUUAUUUACAUAAAAUUAUUUUGAAAAUUUUCCACAUUGGAGGAUUUUUUUAAAAAACGCUUUCUAUACAUUCUGUGCCUGAUAAUUAUUUGACCUUCAAUAAAUAUGGAGAAAAGAAUUUGUUGCUAUUUGAUAUCUAAUGUUAUUUUUUAAACAAUGUUUAGAUCACAGGUUCUAUGCAAUCCCAUCAGAAUUAUAGCGUGGUACAAUAUAGUUAAGCAAAUGAAUAAGAAGAAUUUGGAGAAACCACUAGAGUUUUAUGAUCAAAAUAAUAACAUAGUAGGAUUAAGGGAAUCAAUGAGGAUAAGUAUUAGAAAAUAUGAAAAAAUAACAUCUUACCCUAAAAUACAGGUUAAGCUAGUUUUAUGUACUUAACACUUUUAUGAAAAGAAAUAUGUGUACCAUAUGGUGAAUACUUUUUACAUUGUCAUAAAUUUGGCAUAUCAUGUUAUAAAAUAUGAUAGCCUUUAUAUGUAAUAAAAACAUAUAAUUUUGACAUAACACUGGAUUUGUUAAAUUGUGUCUUAAUUCUCCCACACUAAGCAGUCAACAUGAACACUCAAUUUAUUAAUUCCUGUAUAUGAUCAAAGUUUGUGUAUGCUAAAAUAUGAUAUGGCUAAUGUUAAACAUGUUUUCAUGUGCUAUUUGCCAUGCAUAUCUCCUGUUCAGUGAAAUAUCUGUCUUUAUCUUUGUGUAUUUUACAACUGAAUUGCUAUUCUGUUUAGGUAUUUUUGCUGCCAAGUUUUGAAAGCUCUUUGUAUAUUAUAGAUAUAAGAUCUCUGUCAGAUAUAUGAUUUGCUAACAUUUUUUCUCAGUCAGCAGCUUAUCUUUUCAUUCUCUUAAUAGGGUCUUUUGCAGCACAGAACAGGAUGGGCUCUGUAUGCUGAAAAUCACAACAUAUUGAUGAAAUAAAUCAAAUAAGAUCUAAAUAAAUGGAGAGAUAUACUGUGCUCACGGAUUAGAAGACUCAAUAUAGUAAAAUGUCAGUUUUCCUCAAAUCGAUAUGUAGAUUAAACACAGUUCCUAUCAAAUCUUAACAAGCUUUUAAAAAUAUGUAGAUACAAUAUGACUCUAAAAUGUAUAUGGAAUGGCAAACUAGAAUAGCCAAAACAAUUUUGAAAGGAAGAAUUAAGUGGACAAAAUACUUUACGUUAUGUUAAGAUUUACUAUAGCUAUCAUAACCAAGAUAGCAUGUUACUUGACACAUAGGAUAAUGGAAAAGAAAAGAGAACCCAGAAAUAGAUCAAUACAAUAUAUCCAAUUAAUUUCUGGGAAAAGUGUGAAUUAAUUUAAUGGAUGAAGAAUAGUCUUUUCAACAACAAGUUGGACAUCCAUAGAUAAAAAAUAUUUGACCCAAACUACAUAUAGGAUACAAAAAUUAAUUCAAAACUGGAUCUUGAAUUUAAAUGCAAAAUGUAAAACUAUAACACUUCUGGAAGAAAGCAUAGGAAAAAGUCUUUAAGGCUUAGAGCUAGGCAGAGUUCUUAGACGUGACACCAAAAGGACAAACCCUAAAAGAAAAAUUUAGUGAAUUGAACAUCAUCAAAAUUUUUGCGUCCCGUCCAAGUUUCAGGAACCAUUCUUUCUACCUCCUAGUCUGGAUAUGGGAGCUGCCAUUUUUUUAAAUGAUUCCAUCUCUGGCUAGAAGGGAUGAGACAUGUGGGCCAAUUGAAAUACCUAGUCUUCUAGUCUUGAGAAUUGGUGGAGCAUGAACACAUGAUGCAAGCCAGGCCAAUCAGAAUACCUCUGGGAUUCUUCUACCUGUGGUGGGAGAAGUGAGUUCCCUUUUUUUCUAAUGAUGGGACGUAAGGGUAGGAGCCCAAGAAGGGUCAGCGCCACAUGAGACAGCAGGUAUACAAUGGAAAAGCAUGCCAAAGAAAACAGUAAUUGAUCAGGCUUACAUGUUGUUACAUCGAGGUACCAGCCCUGGCUGACCCCACCCCUUCUCCAAGGCUGAAGGGAGGAAUAUCCCAGCAUACCUGUAACUAGUACACUGUUAGGGAAGCUCUGCCAUAGCCAGCAAAUCUCCCUUUGUUGUAUAUGCUAUUCGAGUUGGGUUCCUGUCACUUGCAAUGGAAGGAAUUCUGACUACCUCAGGGCAAAGCUAAUUUGUGGAUUCAGGACUACCUGAUUUGAAAGGCUGUGUUUUUUACACCACGUGACAUACUGCCUCCAUCAUGGUGCCCUCAUCUUGUUGAAAUGACACUAUCUAGAGAUACCUUUACCUUAUCUUGGAAACUGUCUCUUUUGGGGAAUCAUCACGUGUACAUCUAUCAUGGUUUCAACUUUUUUUUCAACUAUAAUAAAUGCUCCUGUUAGUAAAGAACAUUGAGAUUCACUUAAAUAUUGUUGAUUGUGGUUCCUUUUUGGCACCAGGGACUGGUGCUCCUAUGAGAAUCCAAUGCCUGAUGAUCUGAGGUGGAGCUGAGGCAGCGAUGCUAGCGCUGGGGAGCGGCUGCAAACACAGAUGAUGCUUUGCUCCUUGCCCACCAUUCACCUCCUGAUAUGUGGCCCGGUUCCUAACAGGCCAUGUACCAGUACCGGUCCACAUCUUGGAGGUUGGGGGCCACUAGUCUACACUAUGCCAGCAAGAAGAAGGCAGGGAACACUUUCUUCCUAAAUUUAUGGAACAUGUCCAGCAUAGCAGGUUGCCAAGGCAACGUUUUUCAUCCCAGGAAGGUACCAACCAUUGUUAUUGCUCUGCUAAAUGAAUGAGUGGGCUUCACUAAUGAAGACGGAGCCAUACUCUGGUGCCAGAUAAAAAUCAGAAGUUACAAAUCAGAAUACUUGAACCUCAGAGAAUGUAAACAGCUCAACAAGGGAUCAGAUCUGGGUACCUGGAGCAUCUGCAGGACACAGGCAGCUGCACUCAGCUGCCUCAAAGGUCCUGCUGAGGUCUGCUCUUCGGAUGUGUUCAUAGGAGCUUACAGAAGCAUGCAGUUUGUGUGUAAAUGUCAUCUGGACCCCGCAAGUCCUGGCUUACCUUCUCUUGGGCCUCAGGUAAGUGUCAUAAUAUGCCAAUUAGGUUAUACCAGUAUGUAUGCCAAUAUAAUCAGUGCCCAGUUUAGCUCUUGGGUACCGAUUAUACUUUCUGGCCAAGUUUGGUCUUGCUGUGUCCAUGGCCAUUGUAUGGGGCUGGAGAGGAGCUGCCAGACUGGCCUCAUAGUAACAGUUCUCUGGGAGUGUGGUUUUGGGGGGAGCUCCAGAACCAUUCUUUUCCCUCCAUAGGCUGAUAGGCUGCUCAUUUCCACAAUGACUGUGAUUCCAAGACUGUUGGGUUUUAAAGGCUAUUGUAGAGUUGCAGAGAGGGGGUUGGAAUAAGGGCAAAUUUAAAUGCCACAGAAAUCAUUUCUCUUAUCAAGAUUCAGCAAGUUUUCGUGAAUAAGCACCCUUUGGAUUGUUGCAAGCCUUUGGUUAAUUUCCAGAGUUCUGAAAAAGUUGAUUUUGACCAUUUUUGCUGGUGUUAUCAUUGCUUUUAUGGAAGAGUGAAUUUUCAGCAGUC